AACGAACGUUAGCGGCGCGCUUAACACAUGCAAGUCGUGCGAGAAAGGGAGCAAUCCCCGGUAAAGCGGCGCACGGGUGAGUAACACGUAGGUAACGUGCCCCCAGGUGGUGGAUAACCUUCCGAAAGGAGGGCUAAUACAGCAUAAGACCACGGCUUCGAAAGGAGCUGAGGUCAAAGUCGGCCUCUAUUCAUAAGCUGACGCCAGGGGAUCGGCCUGCGGCCCAUCAGGUAGUUGGUAGGGUAAUGGCCUACCAAGCCUAAGACGGGUAGCUGGUCUGAGAGGAUGAUCAGCCACACUGGAACUGAGACACGGUCCAGACUCCUACGGGAGGCAGCAGUGGGGAAUCUUGCGCAAUGGGCGAAAGCCUGACGCAGCGACGCCGCGUGAGUGAUGUAGGCCUCGGUU
rnacentral:rRNA from 1 species